rnacentral:rRNA from 1 species
CCUACGGGCGGCAGCAGUGAGGAAUAUUGGUCAAUGGGCGCGAGCCUGAACCAGCCAAGUCGCGUGAAGGAUGACUGCCCUACGGGUUGUAAACUUCUUUUAUAAAGGAAUAAAGUGAGGCACGUGUGCCUUUUUGUAUGUACUUUAUGAAUAAGGAUCGGCUAACUCCGUGCCAGCAGCCGCGGUAAUACGGAGGAUCCGAGCGUUAUCCGGAUUUAUUGGGUUUAAAGGGAGCGUAGUGGGGUUGUUAAGUCAGGUGUGAAAGUUUGGGGCUCAACCGUAAAAUUGCAAUUGAUACUGGCAGCCUUGAGUACAGUUGAGGUAGGCGGAAUGCGUGGUGUAGCGGUGAAAUGCUUAGAUAUCACGAAGAACUCCGAUUGCGAAGGCAGCUUACUAGACUGCCACUGACAUUGAGGCACGAAAGUGUGGGUAUCAAACAGGAUUAGAUACCCUUGUAGUC